AGUGAACGCUGGCGGUAGGCCUAACACAUGCAAGUCGAACGGCAGCACAGUAAGAGCUUGCUCUUACGGGUGGCGAGUGGCGGACGGGUGAGGAAUACAUCGGAAUCUACUUUUUCGUGGGGGAUAACGUAGGGAAACUUACGCUAAUACCGCAUACGACCUACGGGUGAAAGCAGGGGAUCUUCGGACCUUGCGCGAUUGAAUGAGCCGAUGUCGGAUUAGCUAGUUGGCGGGGUAAAGGCCCACCAAGGCGACGAUCGUAGCUGGUCUGAGAGGAUGAUCAGCCACACUGGAACUGAGACACGGUCCAGACUCCUACGGGAGGCAGCAGUGGGGAAUAUUGGACAAUGGGCGCAAGCCUGAUCCAGCCAUACCGCGUGGGUGAAGAAGGCCUUCGGGUUGUAAAGCCCUUUUGUUGGGAAAGAAAAGCAGCGGGUUAAUACCCCGCUGUUCUGACGGUACCCAAAGAAUAAGCACCGGCUAACUUCGUG
rnacentral:rRNA from 1 species